rnacentral:rRNA from 1 species
UGGGGAAUAUUGCACAAUGGGCGCAAGCCUGAUGCAGCCAUGCCGCGUGUGUGAAGAAGGCCUUCGGGUUGUAAAGCACUUUCAGCGAGGAGGAAGGCAGUCGUGUUAAUAGCACGAUUGAUUGACGUUACUCGCAGAAGAAGCACCGGCUAACUCCGUGCCAGCAGCCGCGGUAAUACGGAGGGUGCAAGCGUUAAUCGGAAUUACUGGGCGUAAAGCGCACGCAGGCGGUUUGUUAAGUCAGAUGUGAAAUCCCCGCGCUUAACGUGGGAACUGCAUUUGAAAAUGGCAAGAUAGAGUCUUGGAGAGGGGGGUAGAAUUCCAGGUG